rnacentral:rRNA from 1 species
GGGUUGUGAGGUUAAGCGACUAAGCGUACACGGUGGAUGCCCUGGCAGUCAGAGGCGAUGAAGGACGUGCUAAUCUGCGAUAAGCGUCGGUAAGGUGAUAUGAACCGUUAUAACCGGCGAUUUCCGAAUGGGGAAACCCAGUGUGUUUCGACACACUAUCAUUAACUGAAUCCAUAGGUUAAUGAGGCGAACCGGGGGAACUGAAACAUCUAAGUACCCCGAGGAAAAGAAAUCAACCGAGAUUCCCCCAGUAGCGGCGAGCGAACGGGGAGGAGCCCAGAGCCUGAAUCAGUGUGUGUGUUAGUGGAAGCGUCUGGAAAGGCGCGCGAUACAGGGUGACAGCCCCGUACACAAAAAUGCACAUGCUGUGAGCUCGAUGAGUAGGGCGGGACACGUGGUAUCCUGUCUGAAUAUGGGGGGACCAUCCUCCAAGGCUAAAUACUCCUGACUGACCGAUAGUGAACCAGUACCGUGAGGGAAAGGCGAAAAGAACCCCGGCGAGGGGAGUGAAAAAGAACCUGAAACCGUGUACGUACAAGCAGUGGGAGCACGCUUAGGCGUGUGACUGCGUACCUUUUGUAUAAUGGGUCAGCGACUUAUAUUCUGUAGCAAGGUUAACCGAAUAGGGGAGCCGAAGGGAAACCGAGUCUUAACUGGGCGUUAAGUUGCAGGGUAUAGACCCGAAACCCGGUGAUCUAGCCAUGGGCAGGUUGAAGGUUGGGUAACACUAACUGGAGGACCGAACCGACUAAUGUUGAAAAAUUAGCGGAUGACUUGUGGCUGGGGGUGAAAGGCCAAUCAAACCGGGAGAUAGCUGGUUCUCCCCGAAAGCUAUUUAGGUAGCGCCUCGUGAAUUCAUCUCCGGGGGUAGAGCACUGUUUCGGCAAGGGGGUCAUCCCGACUUACCAACCCGAUGCAAACUGCGAAUACCGGAGAAUGUUAUCACGGGAGACACACGGCGGGUGCUAACGUCCGUCGUGAAGAGGGAAACAACCCAGACCGCCAGCUAAGGUCCCAAAGUCAUGGUUAAGUGGGAAACGAUGUGGGAAGGCCCAGACAGCCAGGAUGUUGGCUUAGAAGCAGCCAUCAUUUAAAGAAAGCGUAAUAGCUCACUGGUCGAGUCGGCCUGCGCGGAAGAUGUAACGGGGCUAAACCAUGCACCGAAGCUGCGGCAGCGACACUGUGUGUUGUUGGGUAGGGGAGCGUUCUGUAAGCCUGUGAAGGUGUGCUGUGAGGCAUGCUGGAGGUAUCAGAAGUGCGAAUGCUGACAUAAGUAACGAUAAAGCGGGUGAAAAGCCCGCUCGCCGGAAGACCAAGGGUUCCUGUCCAACGUUAAUCGGGGCAGGGUGAGUCGACCCCUAAGGCGAGGCCGAAAGGCGUAGUCGAUGGGAAACAGGUUAAUAUUCCUGUACUUGGUGUUACUGCGAAGGGGGGACGGAGAAGGCUAUGUUGGCCGGGCGACGGUUGUCCCGGUUUAAGCGUGUAGGCUGGUUUUCCAGGCAAAUCCGGAAAAUCAAGGCUGAGGCGUGAUGACGAGGCACUACGGUGCUGAAGCAACAAAUGCCCUGCUUCCAGGAAAAGCCUCUAAGCAUCAGGUAACAUCAAAUCGUACCCCAAACCGACACAGGUGGUCAGGUAGAGAAUACCAAGGCGCUUGAGAGAACUCGGGUGAAGGAACUAGGCAAAAUGGUGCCGUAACUUCGGGAGAAGGCACGCUGAUAUGUAGGUGAAGCGACUUGCUCGUGGAGCUGAAAUCAGUCGAAGAUACCAGCUGGCUGCAACUGUUUAUUAAAAACACAGCACUGUGCAAACACGAAAGUGGACGUAUACGGUGUGACGCCUGCCCGGUGCCGGAAGGUUAAUUGAUGGGGUCAGCGCAAGCGAAGCUCUUGAUCGAAGCCCCGGUAAACGGCGGCCGUAACUAUAACGGUCCUAAGGUAGCGAAAUUCCUUGUCGGGUAAGUUCCGACCUGCACGAAUGGCGUAAUGAUGGCCAGGCUGUCUCCACCCGAGACUCAGUGAAAUUGAACUCGCUGUGAAGAUGCAGUGUACCCGCGGCAAGACGGAAAGACCCCGUGAACCUUUACUAUAGCUUGACACUGAACAUUGAGCCUUGAUGUGUAGGAUAGGUGGGAGGCUUUGAAGUGUGGACGCCAGUCUGCAUGGAGCCGACCUUGAAAUACCACCCUUUAAUGUUUGAUGUUCUAACGUUGACCCGUAAUCCGGGUUGCGGACAGUGUCUGGUGGGUAGUUUGACUGGGGCGGUCUCCUCCUAAAGAGUAACGGAGGAGCACGAAGGUUGGCUAAUCCUGGUCGGACAUCAGGAGGUUAGUGCAAUGGCAUAAGCCAGCUUGACUGCGAGCGUGACGGCGCGAGCAGGUGCGAAAGCAGGUCAUAGUGAUCCGGUGGUUCUGAAUGGAAGGGCCAUCGCUCAACGGAUAAAAGGUACUCCGGGGAUAACAGGCUGAUACCGCCCAAGAGUUCAUAUCGACGGCGGUGUUUGGCACCUCGAUGUCGGCUCAUCACAUCCUGGGGCUGAAGUAGGUCCCAAGGGUAUGGCUGUUCGCCAUUUAAAGUGGUACGCGAGCUGGGUUUAGAACGUCGUGAGACAGUUCGGUCCCUAUCUGCCGUGGGCGCUGGAGAACUGAGGGGGGCUGCUCCUAGUACGAGAGGACCGGAGUGGACGCAUCACUGGUGUUCGGGUUGUCAUGCCAAUGGCACUGCCCGGUAGCUAAAUGCGGAAGAGAUAAGUGCUGAAAGCAUCUAAGCACGAAACUUGCCCCGAGAUGAGUUCUCCCUGACUCCUUGAGAGUCCUGAAGGAACGUUGAAGACGACGACGUUGAUAGGCCGGGUGUGUAAGCGCAGCGAUGCGUUGAGCUAACCGGUACUAAUGAACCGUGAGGCUUAACCUUACAACGCCGAAG